AGGGGAUUAGUUAAAUGGUAUAAUAGGAGUCUCCAAAACUUUAGUUGGGAGUUCGAUUCUCUCAUCCCCUG
rnacentral:tRNA from 1 species